AUUAGUGGGCAUGCAAACAUUUGUGUGUGUGUGUGUGCGCGCUCACAAAAUGAAGUCUGCAGAGAGUGUCACGCAGAGGCAUUUUAGACCGUGCAACCUGAUCAGUUUGAACUCCGAAAGAUCAUAUUAUUUAUUUAUUUGUUUGUCUUUCCUUCUCAAAGACAGUUAAUUACUGAAGCACCGGGAACAUUUUGUAUUCCCGCUUUUGCGAUGGUGCCUUGCAAACCUGAGACUAAUGAGACCAAGUUCUCACCCCAGCUGUGAACUUGCUGACUUUCCUGCCUGGAAGCCGGAGCAGAGCUUCUGAACAUUGACUCAAGAGGCUACAGAAAUACAUGUAGCUUCACCAGGACCUGAGAGCUAAAACCUAGGCUCCUCUCCUAAGGCAACAUCAUCAGGGAAAUUUGCUGAGGAGAGGAGAUUCCAAGAGAUGCUGUUGCCUGGGGUGAUGCUCCCACCUGUCAAGCUUUGAGUCCAACAGAGAGCAUCAGGCUUGCACUCUUCCUCCUUAUCACCUCUUCUGCAGUGUGCCCUGCAGGAAUGCAGCUGCUUUGAGCCACUCACAUGCAGUGCAUCUAAUUUGUCCUGCUGGAGAGGACCAGAUCCAGGGGUCCAAAGAAAUAUCACCUGAAGACGCCAGACUUUUCUUGGAAGUGAGCAGCUAUGUCUGGAUAUAGAUGUCUACCUGGAGAAUUUCCAGCCUGGCCCAGUUCAGUUCUGGCCUCAUACAGCUCCUUUGGGGCUCCCUGUGAAAGUACAGGAGCAGUACCUAGGUACCAAGAGACCAGGCCAGGAACCACAGCAUUCAUCCUUGACCCUGAUGUUUUCUUGCCAGUCAAGUGUGUUGCAUCAUCUGAUGCCCCAAUGGAAAUAUGGACUGAGGACUCCUCAUUCCAGCUUUUGUUCUGCAUCCUCUGGGCAGGGUGCUGGUGGCAUCCAGAUAACCCUGGAAGAGAGGCAGAAUGCACUAAGACAGCCCAACACUACACCAGUACUGGAAUGAGUUUUCUAAAAGAGGAAGAGCUUACUUGCAAGCCGGCCAAAGAUGAUGGUGAGCAACUCAAAUUCCCAAACUACCUGUCUGUGACACAGCUUACGGAUAUCUGAGAAAUGGGAAUAGGUAGAAAGUGAUUGACUGGAGGUGAUGAUCCAUGGUCUUUAAUCUGAUGAGACUUCAUGUCUCCUCUGGAGUGCAAGCUCAUGAACUGGUGUAAUGACUUGAUCCUCUGACUUCAAAGGGACACCUAUCAGACACAUGUGCAGGCCCAAGCCAAAAGCCUUUUGUUUCACUAAAAUGUUUUUCAAUUCCUCCAAAAGUAUCUUGACAUUUCUAUUCUCAGGAUCCAUUCAUCUGGGGUGCUGUGGUAAAUGGCACAGAAUUAGCAUAUUCUCACGCAGACUUUAAAUCAGAUCUUGAUAAUCUGUAAUUCAUAAAGCAACUUAAACCCUACAUAAAUAGCUGCUACAGUAUAUUGUUUAGAA
rnacentral:sRNA from 1 species